rnacentral:rRNA from 1 species
AUGAACGCUGGCGGCGUGCCUAAUACAUGCAAGUCGAGCGAACAGACGAGGAGCUUGCUCCUCUGACGUUAGCGGCGGACGGGUGAGUAACCCGUGGAUAACCUACCUAUAAGACUGGGAUAACUUCGGGAAACCGGAGCUAAUACCGGAUAAUAUAUUGAACCGCAUGGUUCAAUAGUGAAAGACGGUUUUGCUGUCACUUAUAGAUGGAUCCGCGCCGCAUUAGCUAGUUGGUAAGGUAACGGCUUACCAAGGCGACGAUGCGUAGCCGACCUGAGAGGGUGAUCGGCCACACUGGAACUGAGACACGGUCCAGACUCCUACGGGAGGCAGCAGUAGGGAAUCUUCCGCAAAGGGCGAAAGCCUGACGGAGCAACGCCGCGUGAGUGAUGAAGGUCUUCGGAUCGUAAAACUCUGUUAUUAGGGAAGAACAAAUGUGUAAGUAACUAUGCACGUCUUGACGGUACCUAAUCAGAAAGCCACGGCUAACUACGUG